rnacentral:lncRNA from 7 species
GAACAGAAAGAUGAGAGGGGGAGAGAGAAAGACACUCUGGUUGGAUAACAGGAAAUCAUAUAACCAUAUUUGCAACUGAGCUUUGGGAGCAUGGUCUUUAUAAUGGGGUUAGCUAAUCUAGAUAAUAAUAAGGAUAGGAAAGUCAGCAAUCAUAAUCAUAUUUAAUGGAUUCCAGAUGGAGAAGUAUAAUUGUUCUCAUUAUCAUUGUGAAAACUCCAAGGAAAUACAAUCCCAAGAUACUUUACCUUGACAAGCAACCAGGAACAAUAUCAACAUCAAGUCAUGGGAUUUGGAGAAAGAGCUGUGUUGCUGUUUAUGAAUCACUGUUGGAUGAGACUCUAAGAACUGAAGAGGAGUAAUCAGUAAUAAACCUCAAACCUUUGGAGGCUAUUGGCUGCCCAUCAGCACUGCAAAUUUUGGGUACUCUACUUUGUGUACCCAAACAGAAAGGGCUCCUUUAGGAGAAGCUGUACUUCUGCAGUCCCUCAGCUUGUCUGGAGCAGGUAGAUGGUGAGCAGAGAGAGCUCCAUUCGUUACUCUGCAAUGCAUGGCUAAACAAGCAGGAAUGGCAGUCGGGACAGACCAAGGUGGUGUUUUCAUCUCACCCUACUCCAGCAGUCAGUGACCAUCUCUUUGUGGGCCAGCCGGGAACUCCAUCCCAGAUGAGCAUCCCCAUGCCUUCACCGUUCUGCUCCUGGGGUGAUACCAUUUAUGGACUUUUCUCAGGACAGGGUCUACCAUCCCAGCCAAGUGCUAAAUAAAUAACAGAAUGAUGAUUUCAUUCUUCUGUUUAAUUUAGGUUUCAUAGUCUGCAAGCAUAUCACCCUGAGCCUUCUCUCUUCAUUUCCCAAGCUGUUUUUAUUGCUGUCCCAUCACUUUUGCUCCAUGAAGUUGGGUGAUGAUCCUGCAGGAAUAACAGAGCUCUGCACCCAUGCAAAGCCCAUUUUCUUGGCAGUCUUGAGAGCUGAGCUGUUUGUCCACAGUUCAGCGUUAGAUUUACAGGGGGACAAGAGGAGCUGUGUUUUACAAAACAAUGUUUUCACCACCAAUCUCCAAAGUCUGAGGAGUUUCCAACUUUGGGCUUUAUUUGUAUUUUAAAUUUAGCAUUUGCAGAUGUUUUAUAGGCAUCCAACUAUUUCAACAAAAUGAUCACUUGACAAUAUUAUAUUGCUGAGCCUUGAACUCUGUCCAGCUUGCUUUGUUUACAGAAGACCACCUGCAGCCAUGGUAUAUUUUGUGACCUUCUAUGGAGAAACAAAACUGUGAGUAGAGGAGCAUUACUCAGGUCUUUUUCAGUUCAUGAAUGAAGCCCACUACAACAUGUACAGCAGGGUAUUAGGAGGAGAUGAAUUAAUCAUGACACGCUACAGAGAACGAAGUGCUUGCCGUUCAUUUAACAGUCAAUCAAGUAUCUGAGAAACUAUAGGCCCCUUUGUGGUACGGGAGCACACGACUCCAUCCCAGUCCUACCAGCAGUGACUCAGUGGUGGGAGGCAUAAUGUCAUGGGUUAUUCCUGUUCAUUUGGCCUACUGCAAAUUUCCAUGAAACACCAAUGGAGGAAAAAAGAGCCCACUCCUGGGAUGAGCAAGGGUGAGCUGUGCCUUGCCAAAUGCUACGUGUAAUGUCAAUGCACAAGUACAUCUGCCCACCUUAUGUUCCUCCAACUUUGUGCAGAAAUUGAAUGCUGCCAAAGAAGCAGGGCUCUGCAGAAAAAUUGGAGAAAAAAAGAAAAUAAGGAAUUAAGAAGAAACAUUUAUCAGAAUUUCAAGGAAAACGUCCUUUCUUCCUGCAAAGGUACCAAACUGCUGUGUAACAGAAGCACAAGGUGAAACAUUAAGAGCCAGUAUUUAUUAGCCAACAAUGUGUGACCUUGUUUCUGAGCAGCUGAACUAUGGGUAGAGUCGAAGUGGCUCUUUUGCUGUCAGAACCUCUGUAGGAGGUGACUACAGUCAGAAGCAGCCAAAAAUAUUAGAACUGGUAAAACAUCAGGCUGCAUAUCUUGCUGCCAUCUGGCCUAUGCAAACAGUUUACUUCUGUUCAAACUCACGAAGAGAAAGGGAAUAAGCUUUUGAUUACAAUUUGUUCACAGUGAGAAUUUAUCCAGCAGCUGUAGUUUCAAAUUU